rnacentral:rRNA from 1 species
GAUGAACGCUGGCGGCGCGCUUAAGACAUGCAAGUCGAACGAAGAGUUACGAUUAGUUUACUGAUUGUAAUUUCUUAGUGGCGGACGGGUGAGUAACACGUGAGCAACCUGCCUUCGAGAGGGGGACAACAGAGGGAAACUUCUGCUAAUACCGCAUGUGACCACAGUACCGCAUGGUACAGGGGUGAAAGGAGAAAUCCACUCGAAGAUGGGCUCGCGGCUGAUUAGCUAGUUGGUGAGGUAACGGCCCACCAAGGCGACGAUCAGUAGCCGAACUGAGAGGUUGAUCGGCCACAUUGGGACUGAGACACGGCCCAG